GAUGAACGCUGGCGGCGUGCCUAAUACAUGCAAGUCGAGCGAACGGACGAGAAGCUUGCUUCUCUGAUGUUAGCGGCGGACGGGUGAGUAACACGUGGAUAACCUACCUAUAAGACUGGGAUAACUUCGCGAAACCGGAGCUAAUACCGGAUGAUAUUUUGAACCGCAUGGUUCAAAAGUGAAAGACGGUCUUGCUGUCACUUAUAGAUGGAUCCGCGCUGCAUUAGCUAGUUGGUAAGGUAACGGCUUACCAAGGCAACGAUGCAUAGCCGACCUGAGAGGGUGAUCGGCCACACUGGAACUGAGACACGGUCCAGACUCCUACGGGAGGCAGCAGUAGGGAAUCUUCCGCAAUGGGCGAAAGCCUGACGGAGCAACGCCGCGUGAGUGAUGAAGGUCUUCGGAUCGUAAAACUCUGUUAUUAGGGAAGAACAUAUGUGUAAGUAACUGUGCACAUCUUGACGGUACCUAAUCAGAAAGCCACGGCUAACUACGUG
rnacentral:rRNA from 1 species